rnacentral:rRNA from 1 species
AUGAACGCUAGCGACAGGCUUAACACAUGCAAGUUGAGGGGCAGCACAGGUAGCAAUACCGGGUGGCGACCGGCGCACGGGUGAGUAACGCGUAUGCAACUUGCCUAUCAGAGGGGGAUAACCCGGCGAAAGUCGGACUAAUACCGCAUGAAGCAGGGGCCCCGCAUGGGGAUAUUUGCUAAAGAUUCAUCGCUGAUAGAUAGGCAUGCGUUCCAUUAGGCAGUUGGCGGGGUAACGGCCCACCAAACCGACGAUGGAUAGGGGUUCUGAGAGGAAGGUCCCCCACAUUGGUACUGAGACACGGACCAAACUCCUACGGGAGGCAGCAGUGAGGAAUAUUGGUCAAUGGCCGAGAGGCUGAACCAGCCAAGUCGCGUGAGGGAUGAAGGUUCUAUGGAUCGUAAACCUCUUUUAUAAGGGAAUAAAGUGCGGGACGUGUCCCGUUUUGUAUGUACCUUAUGAAUAAGGAUCGGCUAACUCCGUGCCAGCAGCCGCGGUAAUACGGAGGAUCCGAGCGUUAUCCGGAUUUAUUGGGUUUAAAGGGUGCGUAGGCGGCCUUUUAAGUCAGCGGUGAAAGUCUGUGGCUCAACCAUAGAAUUGCCGUUGAAACUGGGGGGCUUGAGUAUGUUUGAGGCAGGCGGAAUGCGUGGUGUAGCGGUGAAAUGCAUAGAUAUCACGCAGAACCCCGAUUGCGAAGGCAGCCUGCCAAGCCAUGACUGACGCUGAUGCACGAAAGCGUGGGGAUCAAACAGGAUUAGAUACCCUGGUAGUCCACGCAGUAAACGAUGAUCACUAGCUGUUUGCGAUACACUGUAAGCGGCACAGCGAAAGCGUUAAGUGAUCCACCUGGGGAGUACGCCGGCAACGGUGAAACUCAAAGGAAUUGACGGGGGCCCGCACAAGCGGAGGAACAUGUGGUUUAAUUCGAUGAUACGCGAGGAACCUUACCCGGGUUUGAACGCAUUCGGACCGAGGUGGAAACACCUUUUCUAGCAAUAGCCGUUUGCGAGGUGCUGCAUGGUUGUCGUCAGCUCGUGCCGUGAGGUGUCGGCUUAAGUGCCAUAACGAGCGCAACCCUUGCCACUAGUUACUAACAGGUGAUGCUGAGGACUCUGGUGGGACUGCCAGCGUAAGCUGCGAGGAAGGCGGGGAUGACGUCAAAUCAGCACGGCCCUUACAUCCGGGGCGACACACGUGUUACAAUGGCGUGGACAAAGGGAGGCCACCUGGCGACAGGGAGCGAAUCCCCAAACCACGUCUCAGUUCGGAUCGGAGUCUGCAACCCGACUCCGUGAAGCUGGAUUCGCUAGUAAUCGCGCAUCAGCCAUGGCGCGGUGAAUACGUUCCCGGGCCUUGUACACACCGCCCGUCAAGCCAUGGGAGCCGGGGGUACCUGAAGUCCGUAACCGCGAGGAUCGGCCUAGGGUAAAACUGGUGACUGGGGCU